GUGUGACUUACUUCCUAGCUUCCUGGCCUGCAUGCUGUCCUAAAGGAGGUAGAAAAGAAACAUGAGGUCAGACUUCAUGGAGAAAAUAUGAUCAGAGGGGGUCUAUGUAAGGGCCUACCGCUACGAAAAACUCUUGACAAGUAUCUAGGUCAAUAAUAUACUAAUGGAUCGAAAUUGCAAUAAAUUUGAAACGUCACUUGAAAAGAAGUAUUGCAUGAGAUGUGAUGUAUAACUAACUAUUCAUGGAAACUGAGAAUUCACUGAGGUGUCUUUUUGGCGGCAUUGUGUAAGAAAACAAGGAAUCUGGACAUUAUUAUAAUUAUUAUUAUUCUGAUUCUGAUCUGACCAGUUCUGUAAACUUGAACUUAGCUUCAACAUAAUGGAAUCAUCCAGCCAUAAUGCAAUGAUGCUUACAACUUCAAGCCUCAAUUUUCCUUAAAAUCACUGACGAUAUAAGGCGAAGAAAAGAAUAUGUAAGAAAUUAAUGGAAGUGGUAGAUGCUGUUUACUGCAGCAGCACACUGUCAAAGCCAUCAACAAGCCAUUGAAGAUACUAGAGUAAAGGAUGCCACUAAACCAAAGCCAAUCAAAGCUGAAUUUCAAGUCGCAGUGAGUUGGUGUCUAUAAAAACAAGUGAAAAUCAUUAGUCACAUAUAAACUGAUUAAUGUACAGUAACAUUAAUAAUAAUUAAUAAUUUCUAAAUGUACCGAUAUUCACCACAAGAAUGGUGCUCAUGGCUCUUUGUGAUGGAACUUUACAUUAUACAAAUACAACAUGGUUUGAGGUGAAGGAGUUUCAACAACACAGAGGGAAAAAGAAUAAAUUAACCUCUUCAAAAUAUGAAAGAUAAAUGUCAAUUUUGAUUUAGGGUAGUGCUUAUUCCUGGCAUGUUGUAAGCAUUCACGUGCAUGGAUGUAAAAUAGGCAAAAUACUGUUCACUGAGUGAAAUGACCAGUGAAAUGUUGUUUCCUAGUUAGUAUUCAGUAUAAUGAGUCUGAACACGUUUUUCUCUUACAAUUACAGCCAUUCUGUGGCAAAUUCAAUUGCACUGUAGUACUAACCGUUGGCUCCUUUAAAUGAGGCAUGUUGUGGCGAAAUGUUUAAGUUGUCGCACAGUCCAGUAUCGAGUAUUAAAUGAGCUAUAAAAUAUGGGAGCUCAAAAAAUUGCCUAAAAAUCUAAAUUUGUUUUUCACUAUAGAUCAACAGUUUAAUGUCUUAUUAAUCAUGUCCCAAAGUAUUAGUUCUGGAAGUGGUUAACAAAUUGUUUAUUUAACGUUAUUUUUCAUAGUUCAUUCUAUUAAAUCGAGAGCUUAGAGCCAAAAGUGCCUAUGUCCAAAAUUCAUAUUUCGAGAAAAAUAAGUUUUAAUAUUUCAUUAUAUCUAAAAAAUCAAAUAAUAUAACCAAAAGAACAAUAUUCCAGAAUUAUGUUAUUAAUACUUAGACAAAGUUGAUGCUUCGGUACUUAUAAGAAUUCUUCCCCUGGGGGUCCAAAAAAUUCAGAAAAUGGACAUAGACAAUUCUAGUCCAAAAUAGAAAUAACAUUAUUUGGACAUAAUAAAAGAUUGUUGCAAUGUCUGCUUAAUUUUCAACAACUUUUAUUAAACCAAGUGGUUCAAACGUUAAUUUUCAACAAAUAUUUCAUCUGCAGGCAGGAUCUUAAAAUAAAAUAGUUUGUAUACCAGGCAUUAAAGCAUGCAAAAUUAUCACUUCAGACCCGAGUUUUGUUACACCGAAUAGUUAGUGCAUUAGACAAUGUCUUCAUUAUCACUGUCUUCGCCAGAGUCUUCAAUAGCUGGUUCUGGUAGGUGGUCCUGUAUUCGACCAGAUGAAUUUAUGGCUUUGUACCAUCCAUAGAACUCUGCAGGUAUGGCCAAUUCUGUACACAGCUUCACCAGAUCCUUCUUCUUUGCGUUACUGAUUGCCCGUCUGGUAUCGUAGGCAGGUAGCAAAGCAUUUGGAACAACAGGGCGACCACGUCCAUACACGCAGAUUCUUGUGUAGUUUCCUUUGUAACCGUAUCUAUAACUAAUUAUUCCUGGUUGAUCUUUCCUAUAUCAAAAGCUCUUGACCAGCAGCCAGUUGAUGAUAUUUCCCUCUUCGUCCCGGCGUUUAUUUUUUAAAAGAUGUUGUGCAAGUCUUUGGAAAUCAUAGAAAUCUUGAUGCUGCAAGUUUACCACAUUGUAUGGGUGUUGACGCCUAGCUCUACGAAAGAUAGACACCCAGUCAUGCAUUGUAAAGACACCCAAUAGCCGCAUGCAUACUAUCGCAUUCCAUAUGUGAAUGUCCACUUUCCAGAAAGUUAUGAGUAAUUACGUUAACUUGGGUGUUCAUGACAGCAUAAAAAUCAUUGCUGCGACAUUCUGAUUGCGAUUUUGUCCUCCACACGUGUCAGAAAAUAAGGAAAUUUCUGUUAUUGAACAUGGAAGUUGGGUUAUCCAAUUAUAAAGACAAGUUCCUAUGUCAUUGCUUCCACGUCUGCCUUAAACCUCUGACCAGCAAAAGUAAUGUGCGUCAUUUGGUGGUGCUGCACUGUAUAUACAGAGGUUGUAUACGCAUAUUUUUCUACUGUAAUACAUCAGAGAACGUGCACUUGUGGGGAGUUGAAGGACACUCUGUAAGUCAAAUGAUGCUGAUACCGCUCUUGCUUUAUCAGCGGUUUUCGCGUCCUGUGCCUCUUUUUUUCUUGUAAUAUGAGAAUCAUAAGCUCCUUUAAAUGUUGGUUUUUGUAUUUUAUGCAUUGCGCACAUUAAUCUUUUUUGGGGUGAAAAAAUGAUAAGAUAUAUUCAUCACAAAAUAUCUUCCGGUAGAUUCCUUCUUUGACUGGAAUCACAGGUGGUCCAGAUGUCUCACAUUUUUCAAUAUACAGUCGGUACAUUUUCGAAAUAUUUAAUGUUUAAUCAAGAUAAAGUCGUCGAGUGUUGCUACGGGUAUAGUGCGAUUCUGUUACAGGAAAGCUUUCAAUGUGUUGUUUAACCUUUAUUCAGGCUUCGUCUGUAGUUUUGUUUAUAGGGACAUGUCUUCCGCAUCUAUCUGCUCCUGUGAACGUUCCAGCACAUCCUAAAUCUUGAAAGGCAGUGUUUACUGGGCCAUGACUAAUGUUGAGGGUAUUUAGAAAGAAAUGUUUGCAAACACGUUUCGGAGUACUAUUUUUUAUGAAUGUACGCUCUCCUCUAGGACGUUCUCGCUGAACGUCGUACAUCUUUACAUUUGACAGAAGAAAAUCUUUCUGACGGCAAUAGUCGCCUAGUUGCCAAUAUUCGUCACAUAAAUUUUUUCUCUCUAUGUCUGAGAAGCUGUCCAGACACUUGAAUCUGCAGUUUGCACAGUUUGAUGGUUGCGGAUACUUAGCAGAUUUUUGCCGACCUCUUGUGUCGGUAUGAGCCUUUCCUCAAUCAUGUGCAUUUUUUCUUAUAUUUUUUUUCCAAGAACUGCUAUCGGAUUUUUUCUUUCUUGUUCCUCUUUCUACAACAUUCGGAUUCUCUGGAAUGGGUAUUUGUUCCCCUUCCUGAAUGACAGGUUGUUGCCCUUCUUGAAUGACUGACUAUGCCUCUUUUUGAAUAUCUGUCUCUUCCCAUUCAUGAAUGACUGGCUGUCCUCCAUCUUGGAUGGAUGGCUCCUUAUCAUUGAAUGACUCUCCAAUUUCUAGCUGAUUGUCUUGAAUUAAAUUCUCUCCAUCUUCUGGGAUAUAAUCAGGGUCAUUGUCGGAGUCAUCAACUUCACUUCCACUUUCACUCUCUAACAUGUCCAGCACUUGAGAUGCGCUGUAAGUCUUAUCUAAAACUGAAAAAAAGUUGCAAACUGUAAAAGGAAAUUUUUAUGUCACCGAUGCCUACAUCUAAAACAAUUAGACAAAAAAUUGGGAAGUAUGUAUUGUUUAAAACAAGACCUGAAAAUGGACCCACAUGACCAGCAUGCCUGCAGAAGAAAGCUUUGUCAAUAUUAGCCUGCUCUGAGACCUAUACCCGAGGACUGAUUAACUUAACCUACAGCUAACCUUGGACUAGGGGUAUGCCAUAGGCCUAGGGCUAGACCUAAUGCCUAGGGCUAGGCCUUAGGCCUAGAACUAGGCCUACAUAAAUCAAGUACAGUAUGUAAAAAUAACAUUUAGUAACUAUCUGUAUUCAUUUCAAAAACUUACCUCUCCUAAGCAUUUUAGUGAUGGCAAUAACAAAAACAACAAUUGCAAGCUACCAAACAAGAGUGACAGACAAUGUUGGAUUUAUUUCAGAACCAUGUACACAACACAACAUAGGAUUUCAGUGUAGUAUAACUGUUUAUGUUCCACAUGGGCAGGAAUAUGUAAACAAAAAAAAAUUGGCCAAAAGUGACUAUGUCCCACAUAGACAGCUCUGGCUGAAAACAAAGUCCAUUGUAAUGGACAUAAACAAUAGUGGGUCUACUCUAGUGCCCUCUAUAUUGAAAGUGUGACUUGGACACAUCUGUCAAAAAAAUAUAUCGAAUUACUGUACCUAUUAUUUUAUGGACUUAACUGAUUUUUGCCAAAUUUGGACAUAGGCAGUUCUGGCUCUAAGCCCUCGAAAUCAUGUAUGCACAAAUGACUUUGAAAGGCAAUUACUCAAAAUCAUGUUUAUUUUACUCUAAGAGUACUGUACUUUCACUUUCCAAUAACUUAGGCUUGAAAUGUCCAAUUUGAAUGAAUGACCCCUCAUUUUAAAGAUCACAUACUCAGGUAUCUGAAAAUACCAAUAACUUGAAUUUCAAUUUUUGCUACAACUUUGCCAUUUUGCCACAACAUGUCUCAAAUGCUUGCUGUGAGAAUGUCUGCACAUUGUCAUGUUCACACCAAAAAAGAUCAAUCAUUUGUCUCAUCUUCGAUACUGUGACUUAUAAGGUCUAUUUUUAUUAUCAAAAGAACGUUCCUGCUCACUUGUCACUGUGUGUGUUUUUCUUAACAAAAGUUGUGACCAUGUUUAACAAAUAUUCAUUCAUAUUUUUUGGGGUUUUUUUGUUUUAAACUAACCUCCUCCGUUGUGCCCUUUCCAUUUUGUCUUUUUAUUAAAAAUUUGCUUAGAAACAUACCAACUUUCAAUUUUUGCCUUACCUACAAUAUAUAUUACAUUUUAAUCUGAUUUCAUCAAUAGUUUAAUGGUUUUAAAUUUGAAUAGUACAAAAUACCAAGUCUCUAUGCACUGCAAUCAUUGGCAACUUCAUUGAUUUCCUCUGGAAAUCCAUGUCUAUCGUUCUGUACCCUCAACCCAAUCAAUCAUCAACAUUCAAGUCUAACUAUGGCUUCUUUGCAUAUCAUCCAACUCAUCUUCACAUUCAUCAAUUCUUCUUCAUCAGAAUCUGGUGGUACAUUUCAUUAGGCUGUAUUGAAUCUGAUGUUUCAUUUUAAAAAUUUAACCUGUGAGUUUUAAGCGUGGGGACUGUUUAUUCUGCAUAUUCUGCAAAUGAAUACAUAUCUAAUAAAAAUUUGAUAGAAUUCAAUCUUUACUGCUGCCACCACCACCAUCACCACCACCCUGGCCUAAUAACAAUAAACAUGAUAAUGAAGUCAUGUAAAUGCUUGGGAUGAUGAUUUAAUGAAUUUGGUAUGGUAAUUUGUAAUUUAGUGUUGAUAAUGAAUAAUGUGUUUUUUCUUACACAGUAUGUACAUCGUCUUUCCAAUUCAUGUUGCAUUUUAAUAUUUUCAAUGCAUAACUCAUUUCCUGUGCGUAGCCAAGUCUUGCAAUGCUAUGUAGAAUACAGUACAUCAAGCAUGCUACACAAUGAACAAGGAAUAUGAAAAUAGGAUAUAUACAACAUCCUUAUUACUACUUAAAUGUAGCACCAAGACCUUCUGUUAGGCCAUCAGCUGUAUCUGAAAAAGUGGCUUGAAAACAUGGUCCUUUCCAGAAUAAUGUGGACUACUUUUUAGAAACAUGGUCCUUUCCAGAAUAAUGUAGACUACUUUUUGGAUGGAUGCAAUAAUGUUUAAAGGUCUCUGCAUAUACCUACAGUUUCUUGCUAGGACAUUAAAAAGCAUGUUCAGUUGUGUACUCCAAAAUGGCUGUUUUUGGGGUCUGAUAUCAUGUUUAAAUAAUCAUGCCUAAUUCAUGUUGAAUUGUAAUACAGUAUAUUCAAUGCAUAACUCAUUUCCUGUGCGUAGCCGAGUCCUGCAAUGAUAAGUAGAAUACAGUACAUCAUGCAUGCUGCACAAUGAACAAGGAAUAUGAAAACAGGGAAUAUACAAUUACAACAUCCUUAUUACUACUUAAAUGUAGCAACAAAACCUUCUGUUAGGCCAUCAGUUAUAUCUGAAAAAGUGGCUUGAAACAUGGUCCUUUCCAGAAUAAUGUAGACUACUUUUUGGAUGGAUGCAUUAAUGUUAAAAGGUCUCUGCAUAAACCUAGAGUUUCUUGUCAGGACACAACUAAACAUGCUUUUUGAUGUACUCCAAAAUGGCUGUUUUUGGGGUCUGAUAUCAUGUUUAAAUAAUCAUGCCUAAUUCAUGUUGAAUUGUAAUAUGUUCAAUGCAUAACUCAUUUCCUGUGCGUAGCCUAGUGUUGCAAUGCUAUGUAGAAUACAGUACAUCAAGCAUGCUACACAAUGAACAAGGAAUAUGAAAACGGAUAUAUACAACAUCCUUACCACUACUUAAAUGUAGCACCAAGACCUUCUGUUAGGCCAUCAGCUGUAUCUAAAAAAGUGGCUUGAAAACAUGGUCCUUUCUAGAAUAAUGUGGACUACUUUUUAAAAGCAUGGUCCUUUCCAGUAGACUAUUUUUGGAUGGAUGCAAUAAUGUUUAAAGGUCUCUGCAUAAACCUACAGUUUCUUGCCAGGACACAACUGAACAUACUUUUUAAUGUACUCCAAAAUGGCUGUUUUUGGGGUCUGAUAUGUUAAAAUAAUCAUGUCUAAUUCAUGUUGAAUUGUAAUAUGUUCAAUGCAUAACUCAUUUCCUGUGCGUAGCCGAGUUUUGCAAUGAUAUGUAGAAUACAUUACAUCAUGCAUGCUGCACAAUGAACAAGGAAUAUGAAAAUAGGGAAUAUACAAUUACAACAUCCUUAUUACUACUUAAAUGUAGCAACAAAAUCUUCUGUUAGGCCAUCAGUUAUAUCUGAAAAAGUGGCUUGAAAACAUGGUCCUUUCCAGAAUAAUGUAGACUUUUUGGAUGGAUGCAUUAAUGUUUAAAGGUCUCUGCAUAAACCUACAGUUUCUUGUCAGGACACAACUAAAAAUGCUUUUUAAUGUACUCCAAAAUGGCUGUUUUGGGGGUCUGAUACCAUGUUUAAAUAAUCAUGUCCAAAUCAUGUUGCGUUGUAAUAUGUUGAACGAAAACGCAUUUCCUGUGAGUAGCCAAAUUCAGCAAUGCUAUGUAGAAUACAGUACAUUGAGCAUGCUACACAAUGAACAAGGAAUAUGAAAAUGGAAUAUACAAUUACAACAUCCUUACCACUACUGUACUUAAAUGUAGCACCAAAACUGUACAGUACCACCAGAACCAUCUGUUAGGCCAUCAGCUGUAUCUGUAAAAGUGGCUUGAAAACAUGGUCCUUUCCAGAAUAAUGUGGACUACUUUUUGGAUGGAUGCAUUAAUGUUAAAAGGUCUCUGCAUAAACCUACAGUUUCUUGUCAGGACACAACUGAACAUGCUUUUUAAUGUACCCCAAAAUGGCUGUUUUUGGGGUCUGAUACCAUGUUUAAAUAAUCAUGUCUAAUUCAUGUUGCAUUGUAAUAUGUUCAACACAAACGCAUUUCCUGUGAUUAGCCAAAUUCAGCAAUGUUAUGUAGAAUACAGUACAUCGAGCAUGCUACACAAUGAACAAGGAAUAUGAAAACAGGGAAUAUACAAUUACAACAUCCUUCCACUACUUAAAUGUAGCACCAAGACUGUACAGUACCACCAGAACCAUCUGUUAGGCCAUCAGCUGUAUCUGAAAAAGUUCCUUUCCAUAAUAAUUAGACUACUUUUUGGAUAGAUGCAUUAGGGUCUCUGCAUAAACCCAGUUUCUUCUUUCUUUUUGAUGUAUCCCAAAAUGGCUGUUUUGGGGUCUGAUACCAUGUUUAAAUAAUCACAUUGUCUGAUAGUCACAAUUUUCAACAUUGAUGGAAAUUGUAAUUUUUAUUUGAUAAAUUCUUAUUGGCCUUUAUGUAAUAAAAACUGAAAAAUAACAAUGUAUUAUUAUAAGGAACAACUAAUUUUUCAACUAACAUGGUAUGUUUUUACUAACUGUUCCAUGUUGGAACAUACAGUAUUUCCUUUGUUGGUGGUUGGCUCUGUUUUGAUGUUGAUGAUAGACAGAACAUUUUGUAAAUGGCAACAUAUGGCAACAUUAACAUUUGUUAUUAACCUGGCCAUAAAACUUGCUUAUAAAUGAUUUAUAAAUGGUUAAAAUGCUCUUUCACUUCAAGUCUAAGUGUCUGCCGAGAUCUGUAAAUACUUUUAGAUAACUUUCUACAGACCUACAACUUGUCCUUCCUGUAGCAAUCAUAAAGAAAAGGUUAGAAGGCAAUGUAUCUAUAAGUGAUAAGGCUAUGCUCACAUCUGUGUCUGGACUUCUGAUGAUUACAUUUUGUAAUACUUUGAAGCAUGAUUUUCAUGAAGAAGUAACUGUGUAUUUGCACAUGGAGAAAAUGUACUGACACUUUCUUUUUUUUUUCUUAAAAUGUUUUACUUUCUUUUGCAAAAACACAUUGCAGAAAUAAUAAGAGAAAAUGUAAUACAAAUAAAUCAAAGCACUCUCAGUUGCUUCUAAUCAUUGCCAUUUGUUAAUAUGAAUGUAAUACUUAAGGUUAUUCUUAGCAAUAUUCUUUUCAGUUGUUUCUGUAAAAUAUACCCAUUUUCUAAUACCUGAGAGGAGUUUAAUUUUGCAAUUAUAAAAGUAUCUUUAAGCCAGAAUCAAAUUCAGACAAAUAAAAAAUUGCAUAUUUAUGUUCAAAAACUCAAAACACAUGUCAGUAUAUUUUAUGUUAACAGUAAUGUCUAAAGUCUUUUCUCAAGCCCACAUCAAAUGCUCCAUUCUUCUCUUUCUUUUUACAAAGUAAGCAUUUGUCUUCUGGUCCUUGCAGUAAAUUUGAACCGUCUGUGUUCUACUCCCUGCCCCCGGUAAUCGCUCAAGAUAUUUAAACCUUAUGUAAGGGUAUCACAAAUUCUACAUGUGAGCAUUAGUAUUUUAUCUCCAAGAUUGUUUGUUCCAGAAUAGCAUCAUUCAAUUCUCCAAUUUUAUUGUAAUGGGACAUCACUCAUACUGAUUAGUGGGUUUGCUUCUUCUACUGUCGCUAUGCACUUAAGGCCGUCAUCCAAAUAGAAAUUAUAAUGGAUUAAUUCAGUAGCUGCUUCACAUCUUUUCUCUUUACCAUAAUCUGUGGCUCUUCUUAAACCAAAGUUUGCACAAGCUGGAGAGCUCUUAGCACUGAAAAGAUGCACCUUCAUGCGAUGAUCAAUGAUUGGAUUCUCCACAUUGUUGGCCUUAUAGGAAUUGGAGCAGACCUGUGUCAAUCUCCCUCUGAACAAAUUGGUGGAACAUGCCCCUUAUGUCACAUAUCAAUGUGAUCUUCCCUAUUCUUAAUCUGAGCAACACACCAAGUAAAUUUUGAUCUGAUUUGGCACGUUAAGUAAAGGUCAUUUAACAAGGUUCCUUGAUAGGGUGCUGAACAGUAAUAACAACCUAUUUCUCAUCUGCUUUAUUCAGAAUUCUUCAGACUAAUUUUUUCAAACUCAUCUAAUCUCUACAGCCUAACCUUUAAUGCAGCCUUUUCACCGAUGGCCAUAAAUUUGAGGACGCAACAAUGCAUUGCUAAUAACCGAUCCGUCUCUUCUACACGGGCCAGCCUGCUGCUGAAAUACGUCCUGUGAAAAGGUCUAAUCUUUUUUUAGACUAUAACCGACCACUAUGGAAUCGAUGGACGAUAUGGAACCCACCAUAGAACUGACGAACGAUAUGGAACCCACUCUGGAACCGAUAAACGAUAUGGAACCGAAUAACGAUAUGGAACCCACGACUGCUGUGGAAAUGAAACUAACGACAUCUGCCGAGGACCCGCUGACGAACACUAUCGUAGACCUCAGGGGAAACGUGAACAAGUUGUUCGGCCGCUUCGUGGUGAGGGCCGUGACAUUGGUGCCUCUCGUUGUGUCCCAUAAAUAAAUUAGCGAGAGUCUGAGCUAAUGGUGACCCCAUGGUGACCCCAUCUAUUUGUUGAAAGUAAUCAAAUAAAGUAUCCAGAAGUUGCUAUUACCAUUAGUUUUCGAAGGAUUUCAGGUUUUAAUUUACAAUUGCUAUUGUUUUCCGUAAUAUAGUGUACUGCUAAAUCUAUAGCCUCUUUCAAUGAUGAUAUGUUCGUGAAUAAACUCUCAACGUCAAAUGAGAUCAUAAAUUUGUUAUUCAGUUUGUGAUUUUUAAUUGUAUUAACAAAACUGAAACUGUUCUUUACACUGAAUUUAUCUGGUAUAUGUGAUUGAAGGAGCUCACUUAAAAAUUUAGCUAAUUUAUAAUUAGAUGUCCCAAUUGUGGAAACAAUCGACCACAUUUUGUGAAGACCAUCUUCACCCAGCUUUUUAUGUAGUUUCGGUAAUCCGUAUAUUCUAGCAGGUGAUGAAACAUUAGGGUAAAUUUGUUUGUAUGUAUCAAUGUCCAACUCCCCAGCUUUGUGUCAUUUCCUAAGAACCGUUCUUGUUUACGUGUCGGAUUUAUGUUAAGUUUGGCAAAUUAUGCACGAUGCUUCCAUAUCGGAUUCCAUGACACAGCAGACUUGACCUCUUUGGUUGAAUAUCUCUGUAGAGUAGUUUUUACCGUUGCACCAACUUCAGCUGCUGUGGAAAGCUUCUGUUUCAAGAGUCAUCCAAUCUUCUUUAUAAAACAACAAGAUCACAAGUCUGCAAACUUAAUUUUAGACAUAGGCCGACUUUUUAACAGAGACUAUACUACUUUGGGGUUUUGGUAAAUCUACAUGAUUAAAGUCUGAGAGACAGCUCUGGUCGUGCAGUAGAUAUGGACUUGUAUCCAACUAUUGGUGAAAUGUUACUUGGCAGUCUUCUGGCUUGGGUUAGUUUAACACAGAUUACGUUUUCUUUUGUAAUGGUCUCCCUACUCCUCAUUUUUUGUACAUGGAUUUUAUACGAUGAGUAAGUUACACUACGAUACAUCGUAUGGAUUUCAUACACAGUAGACUUUCCCCUUCUGGGGAAAUUCGGUUGGAUGUCUUUGUAGAGUGGUUGCUACCAUUUCGCCUUCCAUUCCGAGAGUCCUCCAAUAUGAAUCUUGUAGAUAGAACAACACAAAACAUUAUAGUCAAAGUCACAUGUCUGUAAACAUAAUUGUAGACCUAGGCCAAAUCUUUAACAGAGACCAUACUUCUUUGGGGCAUAGCUCUGGACUUCUUCCAGUAGCUAGACUAUCUUGCAGUACAGUAGAUAUGGACUUGAAUCCAACUCUUGGGCACAGUCCGCCCAUCUAUUGCUGGUUGACCAAAUUUUUGUUUUCAUUAUGCAUUUUUCAGUAUCAUCCAGCAUAAAUUUGAAUUGGUGAGGUUUACUGUGGUAUAUGGUGUCGUGUAAAUGGGGUUUAUCCAGUCUUUGAUGUAGAAUGUUUGUGUUAUAAUUGAUUUAGUUAUAGUGAGCUUUUGAUGUUUCAAUUGAAUUUUUGAGAUGAUCAAGUGUAAAAAUACAGUGUUUUUUAAGAUGUUUGGUAAUGCAUGAAAACAUUUGGUCAAUAUCCUUGUGAGUGUGGCCUACAUAAGUCAGGUUCACAUGUCUCCAUCGAUCGCGAGUGGGUCGUGGUCUAGAUUGUGUUAGAUAAAAAAUUGGCCAAACUGCGUAUGCUACUGCUUUCGAGGCAACCGAAAAUUAAUUUAUGUCACAUCCCCCGGCCAAUUGGUUGUAGACAUGUGCAGAUCGCAUCGUGUUUGUACAUUUCGUCUAGAGAAUAUUCUACAGGAGAGUGUUUACAUCAUGUUUCCUUGCAAUUUGCUUCCAAAGGUCCUGCAACUGUGUUUGGAUUUGCCGUGCCGUCGUCGGCGAGUGGCCUGGUACAGACGAAAAUCUAACGUGUGCUUUACUUGUGUAUUUUUGUCUUAUUAUUUGAUUUCUUGUCUUCCACUAACAUUCUAAUCUCGGGUUUUGCCCAAAUCUCUAUCAAGUGACUCAUUUCUUCCUCAGUUCAACAGGCCCGAGCGCCAGAUUCAGUUGAAGUUGAAUAUUUAUGGGUGUUUAAAUGAAAAAAAACAUACAACAGCCAGAACGGCAACAAUUGUGAAAAUGGCAUUCUUAACAGAUGCAUUGUUGUUGACUAUAACAGACAGUUCGGAAAUGUUUUGUUGGUUUUCCCUUGAACAAUAGAUAUGUUUAUGUUGAAGUUACAGCCAAUGCCUCUGCUUUAGUUUGGACAGUUAAUCUAGUACACAAUUCUAUAAUCAGCUUGUUGAACUAUGUCCAACAGAGGGUGCUAUACAGAUCAUCUCUCCCUUUUUUGAGAUAGAAAAGACUAAGGAAAAUUAAACAAUUGUACAUGUACAUGUGUUAAAAUACUUAAAAGGUAAUAUAAUUCUGAGCCAGUACUGUAAAGUAGUUGCCAAAACAUUAGCAUUAGAAUAAGGAAUUAAAAUAUAGUAAGGUAGAUGAACAGUUCAUUUUGGUUUUGGUUAUCAAAAGUUCGGAGUUCUGUCCUUUUUAGUUUGAAGCUUAGAAAAAGUCUCUUUAACUAGUUGGGGCACAUUUUACGCAUUUGGGCCUAUUUGGUUUUUAUGUUGGAAACUGCCUCUUUUGUGAAGGACAAUACCCACAUGAUCAAGAAUGCCCGGCAAAGGGGAAGGAAUGUACUUCUUAUGGUAUAAGCUAAACCAUUUUUCCUUGGUUUGCCACUCAAACAG